rnacentral:rRNA from 1 species
GAUCAUGGCUCAGGAUGAACGCUAGCUACAGGCUUAACACAUGCAAGUCGUGGGGCAGCAUGGGAGAUGCUUGCAUUUCCCGAUGGCGACCGGCGCACGGGUGAGUAACGCGUAUCCAACCUGCCCUUCACUCCGGCACAGCCCGUCGAAAGACGGAUUAAUGCGGGAUGCAGUCAGAAAGAUGCAUAUUAAUUUGACGAAAGGCCUUCGGGCCGGUGAGGGAUGUGG